GUGGAUGUCCGUUGUGUCCUGAGACUAGGACGUGGCUCCAGGAGUGCUCGGGCCAGCUGGUCCUUUUCCCAUCCCUCCCCAUGAAGGAGGGAGGCUGGUAGCUUUGCCAGCAGCUGCGCCGCGGCAGGGGUGGCCCAUGGACCUGCCCGAGGGCCCGGUGGGUGGCCCCACUGCGGAAAUGUACCUCCAGGAGCGGCCUGAGGAGGCAAGGCUGGGAAUGCCGGUCAGCUUGGAGGAGCAAAUACUCAACUCCACGUUCGAAGCUUGUGACCCUCAGAGGACAGGUGGUGGGGGCACGAGGGGUGCUGGGGACCAGUGCGGGCAGGAUAGGGUGGAGGCUGGGAACUGGGGAGCCUCAGAGAGAAGACUGGGCUAAGGCCCCCUCUUGGGGGUAUUGUAAGAACAAAGUGGGUGAUUAUGGGAAGCUUCAGGAAGAAGAAAGUGGAUAAUGGGGUGAAGGCCUUUUAGAAUGAGGAAAACUUGGGGGACAUUGAUGGAAGAGGGCAGAGUUUUGGGGUUGUGGGAUAGGGGAGGGAGGCAGCCACCAUGGUGGCGUGGGGCAUGGCUGGU
rnacentral:sRNA from 1 species